AACGGUAUUUGCCCUGGAAAAUGUGUAUCAGUUCUUUCAAGAUGAAAAUUCAUUAAGGCGAAUGCCGUUCUGAUGACAAUACCUUAUUCAAACAUCCAGAGACAAACAUUCUCAGCGUCAAGCAGUGGGACCCAAUCAUCCUAUAUUAAAAAUACCGCGGCAGAGAUGUGGCUGAGCUUGUCGGUGUCUACCCAGAACCCAUCGCCUCUGUGUUGUUUAUCCACUGCCAAAGAGCCUAUGUUACACAUCAUCUUUAAUCAAUUUACUGUAGUUCUUUUAAACAUUCUGGAAAAUUUAGUUUGAACCUCAAACUUAAUUUGGCAUUUAGACUUAGAGGCAAUAAACAAACAUUUAUUGAUCAUCUACUAUCUGCUUCUGCUCUGUUAGCAGCUGUGGGCAUUCGUCCAAGAAGACCCAAUCCUUGAUUUCAGGGAACACAAAAUCAAAUUGGAGACUAGAGACACAUGAGGGCGUAAUUGAGAAGAUAAGAGAAUAUAUGAUAGAUAAUGAAUGAGCAGCAAUUCAGAGUCGUGAAAACACUCUUUUUUUUUGUUUUUUUGGUGAGGAAGCUUGGCCCUGAGCUAGCAUCUAUUGCCAAUCUUCCUCUUUUUUUUUUUUCUCCCCAAAGCCCCAGUGCAUAGUUGUAUAUCCUAGUUAUAAGUCCUUCUAAUUCUUAUACCUGGGAUGCCACCACAGCAUGGCUUGAUGAGCGGCGCUAGGUCCACACCCAGGAUCCGAACCGGUGAACCCUGGGCCACUGAAGCAGAGUGAACUGAUCUGAAGGUUGACGCCCAUCAGUCUACAUGAGACUUUAUUCCACAGAUAACAGACAACCGUGGAGGAUUUUCAGCGUAGUAAUUGUGCAGUGUCAAGAUGACCCUGAUAACAAGAGCAGUGACGCUUUAUUGACUGGACCAAGUGCCUUGUGUGUGUCAACUUGUUCAACUCUCAUCAUCUAAAGAUCGGGUAAUAUUAGCUCCAUCUGUAUUGACUGAAGCUCUAAGAGGCUAAGGAAAUUACUCAAAUCACACAGUUAUCAAACGGCUUAGCCAAGACUUGAACCCUGGUGUGUUUUAAUUCAAUUUCUGUACUUCCCUCCCUCGGGGAUUCACUGGUGGUGACAAGAAGCAUGGACAGGACAACACUUGGACCAUUUGCAGCCCUUACGCUUGGGUGUCUGAAAUAUGAAAAUGCAGAUUUGCCAAUCUGUGACUCAAGCAGAGACUUAGUGAUGAAAAGACAUACACUUCCUCUCACCAUGUGUUUUCAACACUGCCUCUCCCGAGCCUGGGACCCCUCCAAGGAUGAAUUGCUUGGAAUAUGAGGACAAAAUGGAGAAGUGUUCCGUCCAUUACUGUAAGAUCAAGUCUGACUUCAUCUCCGUCUUCAAUUAAUCAUUCUCAAUCAGAUAACUCCAAGAGGUGUCAGGUUUUGCUCGAUGAACUCAAAAGGAAAAUCUGUUUCCUAUCCUCUUCAGACUUACUUAUCUGAAUAUUUGCGUUUAGUAUUUGACCAAUGCUAAUGUCUACUGUUGGGUGUCGUGAUAGUAAACCCACAAAUUCUUUCCAUCUUUAGACAAAUGUUUCACUGUGUAUUAAUUUUGAUUCAUCUCAAUAAUGGUGAUAAUAUAACAUUCAUUUGAGGUUUCGGUAGCUAGUACUUGCAUCUUGACACAAAUUGCUUUAUAAUUCAGUCUUUAUUUUCUGGUUGCCUGAAAUAGUAUCCUCAGUAGCUAAGGCCUUUCGUCAAAAAACUGCUCCCAAAUAUUGUGUUCUAAUGCCGCUUUAUUUGCUGUGGAGCAGAGUUUUAGUGAACUCAUGGAAGGUUUGAAAUCCAACGUCCAUCCACUGCUGAACCACCGGGAGCAAUAAAUGGCCUUUUCCUGUUGGUGAUUGAAUAACAGAGUGCAGCUGAGGCAUCUCGUAAUCACCAGGACCAAAUAUGCUACUGAAUGAAUUCUCCUACUGUGGGAGAAAUCUUUCUAACACACAGGAGGAAAGGAGGAAAGAAACCAGCCUCUCAAAGCUGUGGGCUGUGGCAGGACCGUGAUGGUUAUCUUCCUGGGGGAUCAUCAACAUCCCCUAAAGGUGGAAUGACUGGCUCAGCUGAAUGGGCCAGGGAACACGAAUCUGAAAUCAAACGUUGGUUGAAGGGCACAGUCAAUGAGGAAAGGCAGCGGAUGUAUGUGGACAAUCACGUGUGCCGGGGUGUAAGUUUGGUUCAUUUGGAAUUGAGAGCAGCUGAAUCUCCUUGUUGCUCAGUGAUCAACACAUCUUCUGGGAAAACCAUCCCGUUUCAGACAACUUCCAGCCUGAGGAUUCGGCAGGACUCUCUCCCUCUCACAUAAUUUCACUUCCUUAGCGUGUCACUGGAUGAGCAGCGUCAGCCUCCUGUGGAGCUCAUUAGAAAUGCGGGCUCUCAGGCUCCAUUGCAGACCUGUGGCAUCAGAAUCUGCUUUUUAGUAGGAUUCCAAGCUCCACAUACUACUGUAGCCAAGAGGUGUCUCCCUUCUCUGCCGACCCCUGGCACCGCAGCCACCUGGUCCAUCCUGCUAACAGCAAACAGGGGCCAGCUGGGGUGCAGGGGUGAGCACGGAAGACAUUAACUUCAAGUGGGGGCAUCUUGAGGUUGAGGAGACAGAGGAGUCCCCUUGAGCAGCAGUAAAGGGAGGCCAGGUUAGUCAAGCCCUGGUUUUCCUGUUUGAAGCCUCAGCAGGAAUUCUGCUUCUUUUCUUCUGUCCUUUGGCUGAUCUUUUUGGCUGAUUGACCGCAACUCUGCCACAGGCACAGUCUGACGCAGGCCUGGUUAGCAGAGGUCUCCCUGAGAGGGAUCUCAUUGUCGUGAUCUACAGGAGCCAGGAAGAGGAGCCAGCCCUCGGAGGGGGCUGGUCAGCUGGGGCCAUGACAACAGGCCGCACUCAAAGGAACAGGUCCCCUUCAGCUCCAAAAGAUUGGCGUCAUCUGAGAAUGUGGACCCAGCGUGGGCAGAUUUUUCUAGUGUCUAGAAGUGACUGUGCAAACCCAAAACAAAACUAAAAAGACAUGUUUGUGGGCCACCAAGAACCUCUGGUAUGAAGUAAAUUAUACAGGCAUUGGACAGUAACAACCCAUCCAAGGGAGCUGUGGGCGGAGGUGUGGCAUCUGCUCAUUCCUGUUGUAGGGAGGUGAGCUCUACCACGGGGCAGUGGAGUGAACAAUGCCCGGAGAUUAUCCAAAACCCUUUGCUUUAAUUUUCCGCUCACCCAACAGACUUCUGCUUACUAAUUCAGGUUUACAACAAAGUUUAAAACCAGCAAGGGGGGGAUCUGGAUAAGGCACUAUACCUAUUUCGGUCCCCGGAAAGGGCUAUUCCUGCAUAUCAAUAAAUCAGCAUUCUGAUUUCCUACUGACCUCUUUGCUGAAUUUGUCUGCCUUGUAGAGCUUUGGGCAGCUCUGGGUAAGCUAACGAAAUAAAAUUCUGGUGCUGAAAAGCUGUUUGUGACCCUGAUCAACAGUGACCUAGGUUUGGUCACUGCUCCCUCUCCAGACACCAACCAGUGGGCUAUCUCUCUGUGAAUGUGGCAGGCACCAUUUUGCUGGGGAAGGAGGUUAAAUCUUCAGCCUUGUCAUAGACUCAGCUUUGUAAUUCAAGACUCUUUUCUCUCAUCCUUUGAUUUUCAGCCCCCAGACUUUUCUCUCCAUGUCCUUGCCCCCCGGCACUUCCAAUUGUCUAGCAACUAACUGUAUUUGGGCAUUCCCUGUCUUCCCAAAUUAUCUUUACUCUUCUUCCUUACUUCUUCAUCCUUCUCUUGUUUUAUUCCUUUCAUUACUUUUUGUUCUUUUAUUUUGCAAACUCACCUGCUUCCUCAGUGAUCUUUUUAAGAUCCCAUAUGUUACAGAUUCAUGAGGAUGGAAACAUUCCUUUAGAGCUGGGCUGACCAAUGUGGUAGCCGCUAGCUACACGUGAUUAUCGAACAUGUGAAAUGUGGCUUGUCUGAAAUGAGACGUGUGGUAAGCGUAAAAC
rnacentral:lncRNA from 1 species